AGCAAUACUUUGAUGGCGACCGGCAAACGGGUGCGGAACACGUACACAACCUUCCUUUAAGUGGGGAAUAGCCCAGAGAAAUUUGGAUUAAUACCCCGUAACAUUGCGAUGUGGCAUCACAUUGCAAUUAUAGCUUCGGCGCUUAAUGAUGGGUGUGCGUAUGAUUAGAUAGUUGGCGAGGUAACGGCUCACCAAGUCUACGAUCAUUAGCUGAUGUGAGAGCAUGAUCAGCCACACGGGCACUGAGACACGGGCCCGACUCCUACGGGAGGCAGCAGUAAGGAAUAUUGGUCAAUGGACGCAAGUCUGAACCAGCCAUGCCGCGUGAAGGAUUAAGGUCCUCUGGAUUGUAAACUUCUUUUAUAUGGGACGAAAACAGACCUUUCUAGGUCCUUUGACGGUACCAUAUGAAUAAGCACCGGCUAACUCCGUGCCAGCAGCCGCGGUAAUACGGAGGGUGCAAGCGUUAUCCGGAUUCACUGGGUUUAAAGGGUGCGUAGGCGGGUAGGUAAGUCAGUGGUGAAAUCCUGGAGCUCAACUCCAGAACUGCCAUUGAUACUAUCUAUCUUGAAUAUUGUGGAGGUAAGCGGAAUAUGUCAUGUAGCGGUGAAAUGCUUAGAUAUGACAUAGAACACCCAUUGCGAAGGCAGCUUACUACGCAUAUAUUGACGCUGAGGCACGAAAGCGU
rnacentral:rRNA from 1 species